rnacentral:rRNA from 1 species
UACGGGGGGGGCAAGCGUUGUUCGGAAUUACUGGGCGUAAAGGGCUCGUAGGCGGCCAACUAAGUCAGACGUGAAAUCCCUCGGCUUAACCGGGGAACUGCAUCUGAUACUGGAUGGCUUGAGUUUGGGAGAGGGAUGCGGAAUUCCAGGUGUAGCGGUGAAAUGCGUAGAUAUCUGGAGGAACACCGGUGGCGAAGGCGGCAUCCUGGACCAAUACUGACGCUGAGGAGCAAAAGCCAGGGGAGCAAACGGG